GUGGAGCAGAGGGAGGGUCUGGGGGUGUCAUGGGGGUCCCCGGGUGAGGUUUUGACGGGGGUCAGAGGUGGCUGGGGGGGGAGGGGAAGGGUCUGUGGGUGCCGUAGAGAGUCCCAGGGGUGCCUGGGGGGGACUGGGAGCAGUGGGAGGGGACUGGGGGGACGCUGGGGGGUGCUGGGGUCCCUCCCCCGAGGCUCCUUGACCUGCCCUGCCAGGGAGGUGCUGCUGCCGCUGCCUGCUGGCCUGGCACAGGUGGCACUGAGGGCGCUGGGCCCAGGCCUGCAGCCCCCAGCCCGGCCCUGGGGGAGGCCUCAGCAGCGCCCCCAGGCCAGGCUGCAGUGCUGCGGGGACAAGCUGAGGGCCUGAGUGGGCACUGGGGGGCGCUGGGCGGGGACGGGGAGGGGCUGGGGGAUUAGUGGGGGCAUACAAGGAGGUGAGUGGGGGUCUCUGGGAGGCCAGUGGGCGGGUCUGCGGGUCCCUGGGUGGUCCCUAGGAGGGUCUGAGGGUCCCUGGGAGGGUCUGGGGGUCCCUGAGCCCUCCCCCCGCAGGCUCUGGGUCUCCCGGGGGGCUGGAGGCCUGCGGGGGGAGGUCUCCUCCUUCCUGGAGCUGCUGGGGCUGUGCUGGAGACCAUCGAGCACUUCGGAGGGGCGGGGCAGGGGCAGGCCCCGCCCACGCCAGAGGACGCACCAAUCAGCUGCUGACCCUCCCCGUCCUAACCAGUUCCCCCCGCCCAAUAAAGCACCAAACUCCGCCAGGUGGA